AUUGAACGCUGGCGGCAUGCCUUACACAUGCAAGUCGAACGGUAACGGGCCUUCGGGUGCCGACGAGUGGCGCACGGGUGAGUAAUACAUCGGAACGUGCCCGAUCGUGGGGGAUAACGAGGCGAAAGCUUUGCUAAUACCGCAUACGAUCUACGGAUGAAAGCAGGGGACCGCAAGGCCUUGCGCGGACGGAGCGGCCGAUGGCAGAUUAGGUAGUUGGUGGGAUAAAAGCUUACCAAGCCGACGAUCUGUAGCUGGUCUGAGAGGAUGAUCAGCCACACUGGGACUGAGACACGGCCCAGACUCCUACGGGAGGCAGCAGUGGGGAAUUUUGGACAAUGGGCGCAAGCCUGAUCCAGCCAUGCCGCGUGCAGGAUGAAGGCCUUCGGGUUGUAAACUGCUUUUGUACGGAACGAAAAGCCUUCUUUUAAUACAGGAGGGUCAUGACGGUGCCGUAAGAAUAAGCACCGGCUAACUACGUG
rnacentral:rRNA from 1 species